CAUUCAUCUGUUUAUUUCUUCUCUCUCAUGUUCUUUUAUUUUACAGGAUGAUCCUUCCAAAGGCCACAAAGCAGAGGUCAGUGUGAGAAUUGAGAUGGUUGUUCCACCUGAUAUGAUUAUGAUUUGGAGCUGUGGGGGAGGGGGUGGAUUCCUUCUGCUCAUCAUCAUCACAGUGCUGCUGUUGAAGUGUGGAUUCUUUAAACGCAAGGG